GUGCUUACCUCAGCAUCACAUAUACUAAAAUUGGAAUGAUACAUCACGGACCCUACACAACGAUGACACACAAUUUCAUGAUGUGUUUCAUAUUUUU
ensembl:snRNA LOC120094418 U6 spliceosomal RNA